rnacentral:rRNA from 1 species
UCCACGCCCUAAACGAUGAGAACUAGCUGUUGGGGGUAAAUGACCUUUAGUAGCGUAGCUAACGUGAUAAGUUCUCCGCCUGGGGAGUACGGUCGCAAGAUUAAAACUCAAAUGAAUUGACGGGGGCCCGCACAAGCGGUGGAGCAUGUGGUUUAAUUCGAUGCAACGCGAAGAACCUUACCUGGUCUUGACAUGCCAAGAAUCUUUCAGAGAUGAGAGAGUGCCUUCGGGAA